AAACUUUCAACAACGGAUCUCUUGGCUCUGGCAUCGAUGAAGAACGCAGCGAAAUGCGAUAAGUAAUGUGAAUUGCAGAAUUUAGUGAAUCAUCGAAUCUUUGAACGCACAUUGCGCCCCUUGGUAUUCCGAGGGGCAUGCCUGUUCGAGCGUCA
rnacentral:rRNA from 5 species